rnacentral:rRNA from 1 species
AUGGCUCAGGAUGAACGCUGGCGGCGUGCUUAAUACAUGCAAGUCGAACGAAGUUAUCUCGCUGAGGAGAGCUUGCUCAAUCUGAGAUAACUUAGUGGCGGACGGGUGAGUAACGCGUGGGUAACCUGCCUUACACAGGGGGAUAACAGUUAGAAAUGACUGCUAAUACCGCAUAAGCGCACAGUUUCGCAUGAAACAGUGUGAAAAGAUUUAUCGGUGUAAGAUGGACCCGCGUCUGAUUAGCUAGUUGGUGAGGUAACGGCCCACCAAGGCGACGAUCAGUAGCCGGCCUGAGAGGGUGAACGGCCACAUUGGGACUGAGACACGGCCCAAACUCCUACGGGAGGCAGCAGUAGGGAAUAUUGGACAAUGGGGGAAACCCUGAUCCCAGCGACGCCGCGUGAGUGAAGAAGUAUUUCGGUACGUAAAGCUCUAUCAGCAGGGAAGAAAAUGACGGUACCUGACUAAGAAGCACCGGCUAAAUACGUGCCAGCCGCCGC